CCGUUUCCAACGAAAUCCUCAGAGAGGUCCAAAUAUCCACUUGUAGAUUCUACAAAAAGUGUGUCUCAAACCUGCUCCAUCCAAAGGAAUGGUCAGCUCUGUGAUUUAAACUCAAUCAUCACAAAGUAUUUUCUGAGAAUGCUUCUGUCUAGUUUUUCUAAUGAAGCUAUUCCCUUUACUACCAYAGGCCUCAAAGCGCUCCAAAUCUCCACUUGCACAUUCCACAACAAGAGUGUUUCCAACCUGCUCUAUCAAUAGGAAUGUUCAACUCUGUGAGGUGAAUGCAAU
rnacentral:lncRNA from 1 species